rnacentral:rRNA from 1 species
UAGCCUUGACAUAUUAUAGAAUUCAGUAGAGAUACAGAAGUGCCUUCGGGAGCUAUAUUACAGGUGCUGCACGGCUGUCGUCAGCUCGUGUCGUGAGAUGUUGGGUUAAGUCCCGCAACGAGCGCAACCCUCGUCACUAGUUACUAACGGUUAGGCCGAGGACUCUAGUGAGACUGCCUUCGUAAGGAGGAGGAAGGUGAGGACGACGUCAAGUCAUCAUGGCCCUUACGGCUAGGGCAACACACGUGCUACAAUGGUUAGGACAAUGAGAAGCAAUAUCGCGAGGUGGAGCAAAUCUAUAAACCUAAUCUCAGUUCGGAUUGUAGUCUGCAACUCGACUACAUGAAGCUGGAAUCACUAGUAAUCGUAGAUCAGCUAUGCUACGGUGAAUACGUUCCCGGGUC